rnacentral:rRNA from 1 species
GAUGAACGCUGGCGGCGUGCCUAAUACAUGCAAGUCGAGCGAACGGACGAGAAGCUUGCUUCUCUGAUGUUAGCGGCGGACGGGUGAGUAACACGUGGAUAACCUACCUAUAAGACUGGGAUAACUUCGGGAAACCGGGGCUAAUACCGGAUAAUAUUUUGAACCGCAUGGUUCAAAAGUGAAAGACGGGCUUGCUGUCACUUAUAGAUGGAUCCGCGCUGCAUUAGCUAGUUGGUAAGGUAACGGCUUACCAAGGCAACGAUGCAUAGCCGACCUGAGAGGGUGAUCGGCCACACUGGAACUGAGACACGGUCCAGACUCCUACGGGAGGCAGCAGUAGGGAAUCUUCCGCAAUGGGCGAAAGCCUGACGGAGCAACGCCGCGUGAGUGAUGAAGGUCUUCGGAUCGUAAAACUCUGUUAUUAGGGAAGAACAUAUGUGUAAGUAACUGUGCACAUCUUGACGGUACCUAAUCAGAAAGCCACGGCUAACUACGUG